AAUUUGUUUUAAACUGACUUGCCUAGUUAAAUAAAGAUUACAUUUAAAAAAUAAAUAAAUGUGCCUCACGUGCACCAUAAAAAGAACAAAUGGAACAUUGUCCUUGCUUGACGUAGAUACAGGUGAACAGUUUUGGCUGUGUUACUAGUGGGUUGCUUUUGACAAAUAGGCAUCGGAAUACAGCCAUAUAGUUUUGAACCGAGAAGAAGACCAAGGGACAAGGAGUCGCAAGAAGGAGUCGACUGGGAUGAGCGAGAGGAAUGUCCAGUUGUCCAGAAAAGCAUGGUAAGCUAACGUUACCGAGUAUCAAGCUAGCUAGCUUGGCUAUGAAGUCGAGUGGGCUAGCUAGCUGCGUUUUACAGCCAGACUCGGUUUUACAUGUAGCUAGCUAGCUAGCUAGAUAAUGAACUAAUUGCAAUUAUCAGAAAUCAUUAUUAUCUAGGUAGCUAAAUAUCUGUCAGAUGUAAAGCAAGCAGAAUCGUGACAUGUCAGAAGCAAUGCAUGUUGACUUGCUCACAUUAACUAGAUCACUCAUUAAGCAAUAGAGUGGAUACUUAAUUAAUAAGCUAGCAGCUAGCUAACUACAGCCAAGUAAAGAGGAGCAUGUUGUCAUGAUGGAGUAAAUCACCUAUGAGAAGCUUUCCACAGUACGGUUUAGCCACAAUAGUGGAAUUUACUGGUCGCUUUAGCAAUUGUUAGUGAGAUGGUGCAAUAAAAUAUAAAUUAUAUCUUAGGUAGCUAUAAAUUCACAUGUAUGCCAUGUAAUUUGUCAUAGCCAUUAUCACAAAAUGGCAUGCAUACUUUUAAUCAGAUCUAUUGUCAUUUACAGACAUGAAUGUGAAAUAAGCAUACUGAUAUAGGAAUCCUAAAUACAGGUACCAUUUUCUUGUUAAUCACUGCCGGUUUGUCAUCCGAUUUCUUGGAGCCUGGCGGAGAUGGAUGCAACCAUACUACAAGGCAGGACAUGUCUCUGCAUCCAGGUUGAGGCUUGCUACCAGCAGGAAUAUGGAGAGCACUCUGUCAAGACAGAGUGGGCCAAGGACCUCCAGAGCCUUCUGACCAACUACCUGCAAUCUCUCCAGAGCAAUCUCAUGAAGCACUGAAAACGCGUUGCUGAACUACUUUCUGGAGAACAAUCGUGCCACGCUGACUCUCUGAUUCUGAAAAUGAAUCAGACAAUGAGGAAAUCCACGAUUUUAGGUAAAAACAUGCUCAUUGAACCAGACAUUGUAGAGUCUUCUGAUGACAGUGGUGGGGGAAGAAACGGUGUCAAUGUCAUCGAAGAAGUUGAGAGUUUUGAAAUCAAUAGAAUGCACAGUGGAAGCAGAGAGAUGGUUGCCAAAUGCGAAGAGUCCUAAAUAGAACACAGAAGGCUGUUGUAAUCCGGAGACAGGUGCUUUCUGCAUAUUCAGACAUUGUAUACAUGACAGAGGGAGAAGCGUUCAUCCAUGUUAUACAGGUGAGUUUGCUGGGCUGUGGAACUCUAGAGCAGCACAUGAAGAAUCCUGCCACCUUGUUGUCAGCUAUCCGCAGACAGUUCACUGAGGAAGGAUGCAACUAUUAAGGCUUUUAAAGGCCACAUUUAGGUGGUGACCAAAUGCAAUAUAGUUGUAUAAACUCAAUUGAAUUGUAUUGUUAGAUUAGAAAACAAUUUUUAUAUGCAUGUUUGUCACAUUAGCUUUGACUAACUUCUGUGGUAGCUUAAACACAAAGACAGCCCUUGAUGAUUCUAAAGUAAAUACAAUUCUCAUGUCCAGGGUGAAUACAUUGUUUAUGUAUAUCAGACAUCACACAGGAUUGGCAACUAAAAUAUGUUUCCCAGACAAGAUUGAAGACUGCGACAAGUGAAUAAAAGUCUGU